GACGAACGCUGGCGGCGUGCUUAACACAUGCAAGUCGAACGGAAAGGCCCUGCUUUUGUGGGGUGCUCGAGUGGCGAACGGGUGAGUAACACGUGAGUAACCUGCCCUUGACUUUGGGAUAACUUCAGGAAACUGGGGCUAAUACCGGAUAGGAGCUCCUGCUGCAUGGUGGGGGUUGGAAAGUUUCGGCGGUUGGGGCUGGACUCGCGGCUUAUCAGCUUGUUGGUGGGGUAGUGGCUUACCAAGGCUUUGACGGGUAGCCGGCCUGAGAGGGUGACCGGCCACAUUGGGACUGAGGGACGGCCCAGACUCCUACGGGAGGCAGCAGUGGGGAAUAUUGCACAAGGGGCGGAAGCCGGAUGCAGAAACGCCGCGUGCGGGAUGACGGCCUUAGGGUUGUAAAACGCUUUCGCCUGUGACGAAGCGUGAGUGAAGGUAAUGGGUAAAGAAGCACAGGCUAACUACGUG
rnacentral:rRNA from 1 species